rnacentral:misc_RNA from 1 species
UACGUAGGGGGCGAGCGUUAUCCGGAACUAUUGGGCGUAAAGCGCGCGCAGGCGGUCAUUUAAGUCAGGUGUGAAAGGCUGCGGCUCAACCGCAGAGCGGCACCUGAAACUGGAUGACUUGAGUGCAGGAGAGGAGAGCGGAAUUCCCGGUGUAGCGGUGGAAUGCGUAGAGAUCGGGAGGAACACCAGUGGCGAAGUCGGCUCUCUGGCCUGUUUCUGACGCUGAGGCGCGAAAGCGUGGGGAGCAAACAGG